rnacentral:piRNA from 1 species
UGACAACACGAACAUGCUAGAGGCCA